rnacentral:rRNA from 1 species
UACGGAGGGUGCAAGCGUUAUCCGGAUUCACUGGGUUUAAAGGGUGCGUAGGUGGGCAGGUAAGUCCGCGGUGAAAUCCCCGAGCUUAACUUGGGAACUGCCGUUGAUACUAUCUGUCUUGAAUAUCGUGGAGGUAAGCGGAAUAUGUCAUGUAGCGGUGAAAUGCUUAGAGAUGACAUAGAACACCAAUUGCGAAGGCAGCUUGCUACACGAUAAUUGACACUGAGGCACGAAAGCGUGGGGAGCAAACAGG